AUGGAGGAGCAGCUCGCCGCGCUCAUCAAGUCCGUCAACGAAGGACGGGCCGCCAACGACGCUCGGUUGGAUGCGACCCAGACCUCCCUCAAGCUCUGGCGCCCGACGGUGACGAACCUUCAGAAUCAAGUCGACGAGCUCCGCACGCAGGUGGGGCGCAUCGCCCUCCACCCCGCCCUGGCAGAUCCGACGAGGACUGCGGCGGAUCUCACCGAAACCGCGCCUGAUCCGGGACAAUCGGGUGUGGACCAGGUGGUGGGCACCGCGGCGGCAAUCUCACCAAGGGCUGACUCGAGGCACCAAGGGCCAAGUGGCCACCGUGACAUCGCCGAAACCGGGGGCCUGGCACACGGGGUGGUCACCACCCUAGCGCCGCCUCCGGCCAACGGUACGUUCCCACCCAGUCAUCCAUCCCCUUCCUUUCGUACGGCUGAUCUGAGUGGGAGGGAGAACCACUACGAGUCCUUUCAUCAGAGUUUGCAUGUCAAUUGGUCACUGCCCAAGCUUGAUUUUCCUCAAUUUGAUGGGGAUAAUCCACAAUUCUGGAAAAUGAAAUGUGAAAAAUACUUCGAAGUCUAUGAUGUCCAACCAGAGUUAUGGGUUAGAGUAGCUACCUUGCAUUUUAAUGGCAACACUGCUAGAUGGUUACAAUUACAUGAAGCUAAGAGUCAACAGUUCACUUGGGGAGAGUUGUGUGAGGCUCUCUGCACCAAAUUUGGGAGAGAGCAAUACCAGUCUCAUAUUAGGAAGUUCAAUACCCUUCGUCAGAGUGGGUUAGAUUACAUGCAUAGGUUUGAGGAACUUAUGCAUAACAUUUUAGCUCAUAAUUCGGGGUUUGAUUCUGUCUACUUUACAACCCAGUUUUUGGAAGGGCUUAAACCUGAAAUCCGAGAAGGUGUUAUGUUGCACCAACCCCACGACUUGGACUCUGCGUUUUCCUUGGCAUCUAUGCAGGAGGAGCGGCUGGAGGCGCUACCUCGCCGCGAAUACCGCCGCCAAGACCAGCGUAGCGUGCCUCCUUGUCCGCUCUUGGCGAUGGGCGCGCCAGCGCGUCAAAUGUUGUCGGGGCCGCCGACGGCAGCGGAGGACCGACGCGGCCUGGACGCGGCGCGAGCUCCAGAGCGCCGGGAUCGAGACCAAGAUCGUGGUGACGACCGCGUGGCGGCUUUGCGCAACUACCGCCGAGCCCGUGGGUUAUGCUUCAAGUGCGGCGAGCGGUGGGGGCAAGGCCACCAAUGUGGCCCUACCGUCCAGCUUCACGUGGUCGAGGAGUUGUUGGACCUGCUUCAAGCCAAUCCAAUGGAGCCAGUGGGUCUCGAGCACGACUUGGAUGAUGAAGUCUUGAUGUCCAUCUCUAAACUGGCAACCACAGGACAGACGACUCCGCGCACUGUCAGAUUGGUCGGGCGCAUUGGUGAUCAUGAAGUACUGAUCCUGGUCGACUCAGGGAGUUCCCACAGUUUCAUUAGUGAGUCUGUCGCAUCUAAAAUUCAGCAUCAAGUUCAGUGA
rnacentral:rRNA from 1 species